AAAUUGCAUAAUCAGAAUGAGUUUGGAAGGUUAGACUAUAAAAUCAACAGGCUGGAUAACAAGUUCUAAAUUCUGUCCAGCUGUUUAAAUAUAAACAAUAUUUUUUUACAAUACUAAAUAAGUAAAUAUAAUAAGUACACAAAGUAAAUAAAUUGUGAAAUAUUUUUAUUUGUUAACUAGUGCUAAUGUUGAUCUAUAUGUAAUUAUAAGGCAUUUUAAGCAUCAAUAGUAUAAAAUAUAAAUGCUGUGUCGGGACCAUGAUCUACUGAAAUGUACGUAGUCUUUAGGUCAUGGAUCCUUGGCUCGAGGGGUCUGAAACUAGAACAUACUACAGCACUGUUUCUACUCUCAACUAUUUUAUUUAACAAAAAUAGAUUAGAAUUGACAGUAAGGAGAGAAUGAAAAUAAAACUCUAUGCAUAAUAUCUUUGGGGGUAAGAAAUAUGAGAUAUCUUGUCUGGGAGGGAAUGAGAGCUUUAUUGAUGGGCAAUCUGGAAGAGUGCUGUACUUGACAUACCUACAAAAUGGAUUAUUGUCUUCCACACCAGUCUUUGGUUUCUUUUCUCUUGUGCACUCCUUCAGGUCCUGCUUGGUCCACUCAACCAAAAGCAUUCAAAAAUCUAUCUCUUCUCCUCACCAUGCAAAGAUUUUAUAUUCAGACCUGACCCAGAUGAUGUAUUACAUUUGUGUCAUCUGGAUGCAUAUGGCAGAUAGUUAGAAAUUACUUCUGUUGUAAUUCUUCCAAAAUGGAUAUCAAUUUCAAUAUAUUUUACAAAAUCAUUGGGGAGGGUCGAUUAUUUGUUUCCUCCAAGAUGGGGGAAGUGUGGCCAAGAUUCUCACAGCUGUAUAUUUUAACUUCUGAAAUAAAUAUUGAAUAUCAAAUGUUCUGUAUAAGAAAUCUACAAGUAUAUUAAGCGUCUAUUAGAUUUACAAUUAAUUUUUAACUUUACUGCUCAAGUUUUAUAGAUACAGUAUUAUAAAAUGCAGUUUUAAUAUGAUUAGCG
rnacentral:lncRNA from 1 species